CCCUUAGAUGUUCUGGGCCGCACGCGUGCUACACUGAUGCAUUCAACGAGUCUAAAACCUGGUCUGAUAGGGCUGGGUAAUCUUUUGAAAGUGCAUCGUGAUUGGGAUAGAUGAUUGCAAUUCUUCAUCUUCAACGAGGAAUGCCUAGUAAACGCAGAUCAUCAAUCUGCAUUGAUUACGUCCCUGCCCUUUGUACACACCGCCCGUCGCACCUACCGAUUGGAUGGUCCGGUGAAGCCUCGGGAUUGUGGUUCUUGCCGCUUUAUUGUGGCGUGACCGCGAGAACUUGUCUAAACCUUAUCAUCUAGAGGAAGGUGAAGUCGUAACA
rnacentral:rRNA from 1 species